GCUGGGCACAGUGGUGGGUGCCUAUAGUCCCAGCUACAUGGGAGGCUGACACGGGAGGAUGGCUUGAGUCCAGGAGUUCUGGGCUGUUGUGUGCUGUGCUGAUCGGGUGUCCACACUAAGUUCAGUAUCAAUAUGGUGACCUCCUAGGAGUAGGGGGCCACCAGGUUGCCUAAGGAAGGGUGAACUGGCCCAAGUUGGAAAUGGAGCAGGUCAAAGCUCCCUUGCAGAUCAGUAGUGGGAUCCUGCCUGUGAAUACCCACUGCACUCGGCUCAGUGCCUAUAGCUCAACCGGCU
rfam:Otolemur garnettii contig018665, whole genome shotgun sequence.